AUGGAACGCUGGCGGCAGGCCUAACACAUGCAAGUCGAACGAGUGGCGGACGGGUGAGUAAUGUCUGGGAAACUGCCCGAUGGAGGGGGAUAACCACCGGAAAGGGUAGCUAAUACCGCAUACCAUCGGAUGUGCCCAGAUGGGAUUAGCUAGUAGGUGGGGUAAAGGCGCUCCUAGGCGACGAUCCCUAGCUGGUCGGAGAGGAUGACCAGCGACAGUGGAACUGAGACACGGUCCAGACUCCGACGUGAGGCAGCAGUGGGGAAUAUUGCACAAUGAGCGCAAGCCUGAUGCAGCCAUGCCGCGUGUAUGAAGAAGGCCUUCGGGUUGUAAAGUACUUUCAGCGGGGAGGCGUUACCCGCAGAAGAAGCACCGGCUAACGCCGUGCCAGCAGCCGCGGUAAUUC
rnacentral:rRNA from 1 species